rnacentral:rRNA from 1 species
UACGUAUGGGGCGAGCGUUAUUCGGAUUCAUUGGGCGUAAAGCGCAUGUAGGUGGUCCUUUAAGUCGAUGGUGAAAUUUUCAGGCUUAACCUGAAAACCGCUGUCGAUACUGGGGGACUUGAGUUCAGGAGAGGAGAAUGGAAUUCCAGGUGUAGGGGUGAAAUCUGUAGAUAUCUGGAAGAACACCAGUGGCGAAGGCGAUUCUCUGGCCUGAAACUGACACUGAGAUGCGAAAGCUAGGGGAU